rnacentral:rRNA from 1 species
CUUCGCUGACGAGUGGCGGACGGGUGAGUAAUGUCUGGGAAACUGCCUGAUGGAGGGGGAUAACUACUGGAAACGGUAGCUAAUACCGCAUAAUGUCGCAAGACCAAAGAGGGGGACCUUCGGGCCUCUUGCCAUCGGAUGUGCCCAGAUGGGAUUAGCUUGUUGGUGGGGUAACGGCCCACCAAGCCUUCGAUGGAUAGGGGUUCUGAGAGGAAGGUCCCCCACAUUGGAACUGAGACACGGUCCAAACUCCUACGGGAGGCAGCAUG